UACAGAGGUGGCAAGCGUUGUUCGGAAUUACUGGGCGUAAAGGGCGCGUAGGCGGCCUUCUAAGUCAGACGUGAAAUCCCCCGGCUUAACCUGGGAACUGCGUCUGAUACUGGGAGGCUAGAGUAUGGGAGAGGGAUGUAGAAUUCCAGGUGUAGCGGUGAAAUGCGUAGAUAUCUGGAGGAACACCGGUGGCGAAGGCGGCAUCCUGGACCAACACUGACGCUGAGGAGCGAAAGCCAGGGGAGCAAACGGG
rnacentral:rRNA from 1 species